ACUCAACACUAAUACAAUUAAAAAGGGUGAGUUUAGGUUGUAAAAGCAGGCCUUCUAGAAAGGAUCCUUGAUCAAUCUGUUAACCCUAAACCUGUUUAAAGGAGUUU
rfam:Flavobacteriaceae bacterium HSG9 contig7, whole genome shotgun sequence.